rnacentral:rRNA from 1 species
AACGAACGCUGGCGGCAUGCCUAACACAUGCAAGUCGAACGAGACCUUCGGGUGUGGUGGCGCACGGGUGCGUAGCGCGGGGGAACCUGCCCGUAGGUUCGGGAUAACUCCUCGAAAGGGGUGCUAAUACCGGAUAAUGUCUGCGAACCAAAGAUUUAUCGCCUUUGGAUGGGCCCGCGUUGAAUUAGCUAGUUGGGAGGGUAAGAGCCUACCAAGGCGACGAUACAUAGCUGGUCUGAGAGGAUGCUCCGCCACACUUGGGCUGAGACACGGUCCAGACUAUUACGGGAGGCAGCCGUGGCGAAUCUUGGCCUACGGCGUAAAGCCUGAUCCCGCACUGCCGCUUGAGCGAUGUAGGCGUUAGGGUUGUACAGCUCUUUUACCCGGGAUGAUAAUGACAGUACCGGGAGAAUAAGCACCGGCUAACUCCGUG